rnacentral:rRNA from 1 species
AGCGAACGUUAGCGGCGGGCCUAACACAUGCAAGUCGAGCGAGAAAAGGGCUUCGGCCCUUAGUAAAGCGGCGGACGGGUGAGUAACACGUAGGUAAUCUUCCCUUGAGCGGGGGACAACGAGCCGAAAGGCUCGCUAAUACCGCAUAAGUUUCCAGGGACCUCGGUUCUUGGAAGGAAAGCUAGGUAGCAAUAUCCGGCACUCGAGGAGGAGCCUGCGUCGCAUCAGCUAGUUGGUGGGGUAAUGGCCUACCAAGGCGAAGACGCGUAGCUGGUCUGAGAGGAUGAUCAGCCACACUGGGACUGAGACACGGCCCAGACUCCUACGGGUGGCUG